rnacentral:misc_RNA from 1 species
UAACCCCUCAAGCUCAGCUUGGUGUUGGGGCCUGCCGACUGGCAGCCCUUAAAAUCAGUGGCGGCGCCAUCUGGCUCUAAGCGUAGUAAUUUCUCUCGCUAUAGGGUCCCGGUGGACGCUGGCCAGCAACCCCCAACUUUCUAU